AUCUUCGACAAGGUAAUGUAGAAGAAAUCUUGGAUCUCCUAAUAUAAAAUAUCGCCUGCAGACAACUCUUUGAAACUGAAAGAUCCUGGAUGAGUAACCAUUCCACGACAAUGCUCAAUCGCAACGAGUCCAGCGCCAUACUGAACAAACAUGUGUGUUAUACAAAAUGUUAGAUGCAACGUUUUUAAUUUCUUCCAAUCGAAACAUGAUUUUGAUGCAAUUUCUUUAAUUAGCUAGUUGAUAAGUGAAUGACCUCAACCCUCUUUUAGUAUAGCUAAUGUGUUAUUAUUUUUUUCUUUAAUUUAUAUACUAAACCAUGUUUUGAUAAUGGGAAAUUAGUAAAUUUUGUAACAUCGUCAUUAUUUUAAUCUAAGAGUUAAGUAGCAAUAUUUAACUCCAAAAAUCAAGUUUCAACAGUGUAAACAUAUAGCAUAGUGUUAUUGAUAUAUCUUUUGAAUAUAUUGGGAAAGAGUUAAAACAACUACUUUUUUGAUUAACCGUUAAACCUAAGAGCCCAAUGGUUAAAGAAAUUACAGUAUAAUAACUGAAUUGAAUGAACUAGUACUUGAAUCAAUAGAAAUAACCUGAAAUUGAGUUGGUUAAGAUCACCAGCUUGUGGUUCUACUUUAUUAUUUUUUUCAGAAAAAAAAAGACAAUAUCAAAUGAAUAAACAAAUUGAAAUCAUUGUGUAUCUCUGCACUUAAAAACAAAAACUAUAAUAAAUCAUCAAGCUGCUAUUACUAUACUCAUAAAAACCCUAUUGGUCAAUGAUGAUACAUUGUUACAUCAUCAUGCAACAUAUUUGAAGUUAUGAAACCAAAAGACAACCACAGAAGAAAUAGACAUUUAUGAAUUAUUUUUUAGAAAAUUGGGGAAAUGAUGUCAACAUCAGAGCUGAAUCAUAACGACAUUAUCUUGCCAUUAUAAAGUCACAUCCUCAUUCCCAAAAUCAAGAAACAGAACAAGUCCAUACCCUUUUGUUCAAAAAAAAAAAAAGAACAAGUCCAUACCCCACUUUUGUCUUCUUCCAUGGAGUCUUCUCUUGUUCUCCCUUCUCAAUGGUCUAACCUUCCUUUAGACCUUCUUGAGUUGAUCUCCGACUCCGAUUACGUUAACGAAUGCUCAUCAGACACCGUCGAUCUCCUCCGUCUCCGCUCUGUAUGUUCCACGUGGCGUCGCUCUCUUCCUCUCUCCAACAAAAAUCCUUUGUCUAAAUUUCCACCUCUCCUCCCUUUCUGGUCAUCUUCACCUUCUGGCUUCUUCAUUCUGAAACAGAGCAGUGUUUACAAACUCGAAGCUCAUCCCACAAGCUGGUUGGUGAAGCUUCAGGAGAUAUCUCCAGGGACAAUGCGAGUCUUGGAUCUCUUCUCAAACGACAGACUCCGUUUCUUACCAGAGAACUUCCCGGAAAAAGUCGAUCUGCGGGAAUCUCAUGUGAGGUUGGUCCGCAGAGCUUACCGUGUGGAGUACGCAAACAGAGGUGGUGGCGAGAUGUCUUCUUUCUGGUCACUGAGCUCCGACAAAGUUGUGGUCCUGUCUUCACGGGAACACUCAGCGGUCAUAGCUAUCCACAGCGGUGGAAAGCUAGGAUUCUUGAAAAACGGAGACGAUGAAAUAUGGAAGAUCUUGGAUAACUCGUGGAACGUGACUUACGAGGACAUAAUAACGUACGGAGAGAACUGCAUCGUCGUGGACGAUAAGGGCAAAACCGUAAUUUACGAUGUGGAGUUCAAGGUGUCCGAUUUGGCUGAAGGUUUAGCGGGAGGAGGCGGGCACAAGAAGCAUCUUGUGGAAUGUUACGGCGGAGAAGUAUUGCUUGUGGACAAAUACGUGAAACACGUUUGGUGCAAGUCGGAGUUUUCGAAGUCUGCGGUGGAGUUUAGAGUGUAUAAGCUGAAGAGAGAAGAGAAGAGAUGGGAAGAGGUGAGGGAGCUGGGAAGAGAUGUGGCUCUGUUUGUAGGAGAAGAUUGUUCUUUCUCCGUUGAGAUUACGGACGGUGAUUUGGCGGGAGGAGGUUGUAUAUUUUAUAGAGAUUAUAGGAAUGGAGGAAGAAGCAGAGGGGUUUACAGUGAUGGUGAUGGCGUUUUCAAUAUGGAGUUAAAAGACGCGGGGAAGUUUUGGGUUUCAUACUAAGCCCAAAUGUUUAGGCCCAUUAUAUGUUUGGGCUUAUUAGAACAUGAAAUAAUUGUGGAAGCUGUUGAUUCAUGAUUUUACUUUUUUUUUUUUUUUUGGAACACUUCGAUUCAUGAUUGUACAUUUUCAUAAGGUAUUUGAGUGUCCAAGUAUUUUUUCCUCUCUUAAAUAUAGAUUUUAAGACAUGAAAUGUAUAAUUAAUAGCUUAGAUACUUACAAAAUGUACACAAAACACCAUGAUAUUCAUCCAAAGUUUUGGAUCGGUUCGAGUAUUUUACGAGUUUCGAUUUGAGCUGGGUAUAACCCAAAAAAUAAAAUUGAACCAAAAUGAACCAAAACUGAAUUUGAAAUCAUACAAAUAAGUUAUUUUGCUAAAAUUCAAAUUUCGUCCUUUAUUUAAAAAAAUAAUAUUAAAACGCGAGAGAAAUCGCCCUAAUUUCUCCAGGAGGCGGCGCGACGAUUAUUCGAGCUUUUUUUUUUUUGCGAUGAAGACAGUCACCGGAAGUGUUAACAGUGCGAAACCAAUCUCCCUCGCUAAGGCGGCCACGCUUCUCUCCGGCUUCGUUUCCUCUGAGACCCAGGCCUCUCAAGACGUCACCGCCUACCUCCGACGCGCAACUGCUGCCUUCACCGAAUUGAGGAGCUUCCACAGAGAGAUUCGAUCGGCGAAUCAAAAAUCCGAGCUCCAGGAGCUGGGUAGAGCUAAGGGGGUUGAUGAUUCGGUGGAAAACGGAACUGUGACCGGAGAGGAAUCAGUUCAUGGUCGGAAGAAGAAAAAUAAGAGCAAAGAGAAGAAAGAAGAAGAUGAGCAAAGGAACAAAGAGAGAAAGAAGAAGAACAAAGAUGAAAAUGCUAUUAACGAGAAGGUGAAUGUGAAGUUGGAAGAAGAGAGAAAGGAGAAGAAGAAGAAGAAGAACAAAAAGGAAGAUGUUAUUGACGAGAAGUUUGAAGAAGCGAGGAAGAGCAAGAAAAAGAGGAAAUUAUCAAAGGAGACUGAUGCUUGAAGGUUUUACAGCUCAAGGUUUGCUGAACUAUAGUAUUGACAAACGAUUUGAUUUUUGGGAACACUCUGUUAUAGUUUUUAACUAUCUGCAAUGGAGUUAUCGUUGUUGUUUUUUUUACCCUCUUUGCCAUUACUGUAUUUUGAAGUUUCUUGAAUGCCAUAGUCGCAAGUAGUCUUUAGAAUUUCAAACCUGAAGAUGGGCACUUGAAAUAGCUUUAGCAUUCCCUCUAAACCUUUGAAUGCAUAAGACUUCAUAAUUGCUAUGCAGUGAAGUUUUUUUUUUUUAAAUCAAGGUAGCGAAUCCAUUUUCGAACCGGACAAGGCAUGUAUCUUCAACUAACAGUGUGCAUGAUUCAUUAGUUUGCUUUAUGAUUCAGCUUCAUACUUAUUGAUAAGAAGGCUACUUUUGAGUUCGUAAUAACUUGAGCUUAUUAGACUCCUGUAAUCCUUGAUGCGGGUUGAGGAAAUCUGUGGGAUAUCGUCAUUCCCAUGAACUUGUGAAAGAGUCAAUGUUGUUGUUUAACUCUUGCAGAUGUGGGUGUUGUAGCAUUGUUUACACGGACCAUCUGAUUCAAACUAUUUUGUGUAUAUUUUCAACAGUUACAGGGAUUCUGAUAAUCCCUGUAGAAGGUAAGCCCCAACUUUUGCAAAUUAAAUUGUGCAUACAUAUUAAUUUAGUAUGGUAUUACAUUACAUAGAUGUACACUUACAGAAAACAGAUCUUUGCGACAGUAAAUAAUUGAACAGGAAUGGACCUCAUGUCAAAUUAUUGAACAGGAACUGACCUCAUGUCAAACUGAUAAAUGGCCGGGGGGAAAAAAGAAUAGAAAAAAUGCGUGAAGCUUGGAAGAAAGAAGAGACAAGAAACAAAAUGAAUGAAGCAAGAAUCAUCAGCAUUUGGGCAAGUCUGCAGGAGGAGGAAGAAGUUUCUGAUCAGGCUUAUCUCCAUCAAGCACAAGCCAAGCCAUCCUCAGACCCCAACUGGUAUGUACUUCCAAGUGACAGUGCAUGAACCACACUCCUGUCCAAACAUUUUAAUUUAAGUUAUUAUCCUCCUCUUAGAUUAAACUAAUGUGCUUAUUAUUACCUGGGUUAUCUGCAAGGAAUCUAAUAGCAGCCCAUCCACCAGAUGGCACACCUACUGUGUUCCUCUCUAUUGGGUCAACAAGGUUGAAGUUCUUAGGAUCCUCCUUCGCGUCGAAGUUCCCAAACCCUUGGCCAACGACAAAGAAGUUAAACCCAUGAAGGUGAAGAGGAUGGCUCUCCGCACCGAGAAUGCUAGUAUCUUGCAUCACCAGCUCCACACUGGUGUUAUAAGGCAGAACCAUCAAGUUUGUCCCUGUGCUAACCAUAGUGUUGUUAGGUGGGGUGCCUGUGUAGUUAAAAGGCACUAUGGGACUCCACGGGAAGUUCGGAGAAUACACUCCGUUAGAUUGCCCAGAAUAGUGAGACUGAAGGAGAGCCUUUGUUGGCAUCGUGAAGGAGAUGUUGCUGAUCGAAGCAGCAAACAUUGUGGUGUUAGUAGGACCCUGGCAUGUCUGGUUGUUCUUAUGGUUGCAAGGGUUUGUUCCCAAUCCUACUGUGAAGAAAAACUUCCGAUCAACCUUCAGAGGCACGUUUGCUGGGAACUUUUUGCUGUUCAGGCUUCUCAGCUUGUUGCUGAACUUGGUAGCGAAGUUUGUAUCGUUUAGAGCAGGAAGUACUGGUGUGAAGAGCUGAAGGUUCUUCUUGAUAGAGGUCUUUGUAUGUUUAGGCUGUUCGUAUUCUAAGAUGCCUGCAACUGUAGAGUUAUCAAAAGUUCCUUGACCUGUGACGUAUGGUCUAGCAGUCAUCAAGAAAGAGGCCUUCGGGUAACUUUGUUUUGUCUUCAGCAAGAGGUUUGUGGUUUGUCCAGGAGCGAUUAAGAUGGUAUCCGUCUCAAACGGCUUGACGUAGAUCGCAUCAGCUUCAACAACUGUAACCGUGUGGUUUGCUAUGCUGAAAAAGAGCUCGUCGUUAAGUGCCGCGUUGAUUAGUCUUAGAAGGUAUGUUUUUCCUGGCUUCACUCUCAGUCUGAACGUAUCUUUAGCUGAGCAGUUGUAUAGCGGACCAGGAAGACCGUUGAUCGUGUAAGCAUCAGAGACAUUAGGACCACCUCCUGUUUGUGUUGCUUGGCGAAUGAUUGCCUCAGUGUCUGCGUUGAACCACUCCCCUGAAAAUCUCAACCAUAAAAAAAAAUCAGUAAUAAUGUUUUGAAAUUCUCAGUUUGCUAGUCAUCAUCCUCACCAAAGACCAUGGGAACUUCUUUGUGAGGUUUGUGAAACGGGUAAGGAACACCGUGUUUUGGAAGGAUGAUAAGAGGACCAUAGACUGUUGCUCUGAGCCAUGAAAUGUGAGCAUGGUACCACAGAGUGCCUCUUUGGCCAACAACGGUGUAGUUGUAGACAUAGCUUUGCCCUGUCUGAAUAGGACAUUGGGUUAUGUAAGCUGGUCCAUCAGCCCAACCAGACCGUAAUUGCCUGAUCCCAUGCCUGAGAUUUUCAGGGAUUAGUAAUCAAACAUUACUAUUAAUAGUGAUAAAAGUGUUUUAAAGAUUAUUUUUACCAGUGGAGAGAGAUAUUGUUUGGGACAUGGUUAACAACUUUGAUGAGAAGCUGGUCACCUUCUCUAGCAAUAAGCUUAGGCCCUGGAAACUUCCCGUUUACAGAAACAAGGCUCUUUGUGUGGCAAAGACGUGUCACGUUGUGCAUUUUUAUCUGCCAAAAGAAAAACGAAACAUCUAAUCAUAUCAUCUGCAACCCUUCAGGUACAAUCUCAACAUUUUUUCACAGAAUAAACAAAUCUUCACGUACGUCCAGCGUAUAAUGCCUUGUUUUACCAAAUGCAGGUUCAGGAAGAAGAAGAACACUAGAGAAAACAGCAAAUAGAAGCCAAAACGCCAUUUUUGGACCUUAAGGCGUUGAUUAUAGCUGGUAAGGCUACUGAACACUCUGCCUCUGUUAUUAUAUUUCUAUUUUCUUUUGCUGUAGAUUGUGGAUUCAUUGUUUCAACAUUUAGUGUAUAUAUAUAGGAAGGAAAGUUAGGUGUUUGUUUGCUUGGAGAUGUUGAAGAAAAAGAUUUAGUAGUUGUUUAUGCAAAAACAAAAAGAUAACUGGUAGAGAAGUUUGUGUAAUUGGAGACUCUCGAGACAAGGACUAGUUGUUAGAACAUAUAUGAACAGCUUAUGAAUGAGUGGUGUCAAAGAUAAGUCAAACUCUUUGACCAUGUUUAAUCCCUCAAAACUCUAGUUUCCUUUUCAAUAUUAUGGCGUGGAUUGUAAAUAUGAAUUGCAAAGUUGUCAAUUUAGUUUCUUUUAUGUGAUUUAGAUGAUUUGGCAGCUUUGAGUAUAUUGGACUUCAAAUUCAUACAUGAGAAAGUAAGUAACUUGGACCAAAUGUGGCAGUUGAUAUUGUUUGAUAUAGUCACUGGCCAAGUGUUGUUUUAGACCCGACAAAAAGGGUCUGUGAAACAGAAUUAUGCACACAGUUUUAGGAGUGUUGUAAACUUCUAGAAGGGUAACUUUUUUUGGUUAGCGGUUAUGUUUUUGCUAAUUGAAUUUCAUCAUUUCAUAAGCAUUUUAAGUGAUAAGUACUUCAUCUAAUUAUUAAUUGUUUAAUUUUUAAUUUGAAGGUGUGAACUCUUCAAGGAGGUUAAUCGAUGUUGAGUUAGUCAAAACAUUCGUAAGCUAAAAUUGCUUGGGGAUUAAGCAAAGAGAGGGAGAUUGUAGCUAUCAUAGAAGGUCACGCUUAGGGUUAGAUAUCAAAAUCCAUGAAGGCUAUUGUUCAGGAUGUUCAAAAACAUUGAGGAAGUCUCGAAUGAAGUGUUUGUAAUUUUAUUUUCCAAGCAAUUGACCUAACUCUCUUUUAAGUUCGUAUCCUCAAAGGCAUGCCAACCUUGUACAUAUGCUUUUCUCUCUAUAAACAACUAUAUAUUCAUAUAUUAGGAUUUUUUUUUUUUUGCAAUAAUAAUCUAUAUAUGCAAAUUGUUUGCUUGUUAUUCGUCUUUCAUAUUUAUAGUUUUGACAAUGUGAAGUCGAUCUACAAUCAAAAUAUGAUGUAGACAAGAUUGCUAACAAGUAGUUACCAACUCAUCUCCUAACCAUGCGAAGUCGGUCAUUAAAAUAUGUAAUUUUCUUUUGAUCAAAAAAAAAAUUGAUCAAAAAAAUGUAAUUUUCUUUUGUGACAUUCUUUUAUUUUUGUCACCUUCUUUUGUGACAUUCUAGAAAAGAAAAAUCAAUUAAGAAAUAUAGAAACUGAGAAAAUGGUUGAGUGAAUGUCUUUCGAACACAAUGAUGAAUGACAAGUUCACAUCAUUAGUGUGUAGUUCAAACCAUUUGUAGUUUUACAAUUAUGUUUUAACAAUACUUUAGUUGGUAACUCACAAUCAAUAAUAAUCGUAAAUAUAGUUCUACAUAUUUAUUUAGCUACGCUUGUGUUUCUGUCUGGGUAACUCACAGUGUCACACAUUAUUUGAAAACAAAGUUCUGAUAUCUCUCAACGAUUUCAACUAUGCCUUAAUUAUAUAGGAGUAAGAUCAGGGAUAUACACAUCCUUUAUAUAUUAACUAGAUUUUGACCCGCGCUUUGAAAGCGCGGGAUUAUUUUGUUUACAAAACUUAGUUUAUUAUAAACUAUAAUUUCUAUCUAAAGUUAUAUAUUUUAAGUUUUAUUUAAAUAAGCGUUGGCAUGUCUCUCAUUUGUUUUAGAUUAUUUUAAAAGUUAAAAACUGAAACGGAGUAAUACAUCGUCUAUGUCUUGCUUUGGUCAAAUUUUAUUUUUAUAAUUUUUUUUGUCAUAAAUGAUAGAGCUGGGCAACAUAUCAGGACCCAAAGAACUGAAUCAAACCCGAUCCGAAGAGUAGUACCGAACUUAAACCAAAAUUGAUUAAUACAUGAUUGGGUAUACAAUUUAAUAUAGGAAGAACCAGAUUCAAACCCGACUCGAACAAAAUAUUUCGGGAACCAUAAAAUGCUCAAAACACCGGAAAUAUCUAAAAACUUGUUUUCCAUCAUAAUUUCCAAAUAAAUCCAGUUUUAUUUUAAUUUUAUAUAUUUACUUUUACAUUAUUUAAAUUUAUAUGUUUUAUAUUAUUUCAGUUUCGGGUUUUUAGAAUUUAAGGUACAUUUUAAUUUUUCAAUUGUUUACAUAAUUUAAAUGGAUACCCAAACCAAACCCGUAAUGUUUAGAAUAGGGUUUAAAUCUAUAAGCCUAAAAAUCUGAAAUCCGAAUAGACUCAAAUCAAAACCAAACGGAUCCUGAUUAAGAUAUAUAAAAUUAUGUGUUUUAUUUAUUUAAUAAUAAUAUAAGAUUAUAUGUUUAGUUUUUCUCCUAGAAUAUUUAAAUGUUUAUUUGGGUUUAUAUAGAAACCGUUUUUAACAAAAAUCAAUACCAAAUAUAUGCAUCUAUAUAUACCGGGUUUGCUGACAUAUUAUAUAAUAUAAACGUGUUUUAAUCAUUUUUUAAAUAAUUUAAAAUUUUGUGCUAUAAUCAUUUUUAAAUAAGAAUAUGAGGAUAUAAUUAUUUUAGAUGUUAGUGCCCAAACAUAUUCAUUCAAUAAUAAUGAACAUCAAAAAUAUUCAUACCUAUGUAUUGUUAUGAAAUCCUCGUUUAUAGUAACAACUAUAGAUUCGGUAGAAUCAGGUCAUUAAUGGCCAAAGAUAUGAUCAUUGAUUUAUUUACGGUUGGUGACAUUUAAAUAUAUUGAUUAAAUCUUUCUUUAAGCUAGAUUUUAGGUUAUUUAUUUAUUUAUACUAAUUAAUAUAGUAAUGGCAUUUCAUUGUAAAUAACUCAAAAACUAAUGGCAGAAUCCUAGUAGGGAUUCUGCUUUAAUAGUAUUGAUUGAGGAACAUUUGAAAAGAUAUAACCUUAAUUUUGUAUUAAUUAAAAGAGGCCCCAAUGCAUAGGUGACACUCAAUUAGGUAGUCAAUUACAUUCAAUUGAAAAAUAAGUAGGUUCACAUUCGAUUUGUAUAUGUUGUUAGAUACAUAAGUUGGUCAAACUAUAUGAUAUAAUGAUAUGAUAUGAUAUUUUCUUUCCUUAAAUAAAACCUACGGAAUUACCAUAAAUGACUAAUAUAUAUAUGACAAUUAAUGAGUUUAAUAAUAAAGAUUUGAUAACAAUGUAUAUCUCCUUCAUCAUUUUUUGUUUAAUUUUAUAUUAUUAAAAUAAAUUAAACAAUCAAAUUAGCUAUAAAAAUAAAAUUUAGAUUUUUUCGUAUAUGUUAUAUUUUAAAUUUUUAAAAACGACAAUAAAUGACUAUAACUAUUAAAAUUAUUAUGUUAAAAAUUAAUGAUCAAUGGUUUAACAUUUUUAUUAUAAGAAGAUACACAUGAUUUUAAAACCAUAUGAGUAAAAAAUAUCAUUUAAUAAUAAAUAUAUAUAUAUAUAUAUAUAUAUAUAUAUAUAUUAAACACUAUAUACCAUAAGAUUACAUAAAUAUUUUAAUAUUAAAACUUUCAAUGAAUUUUCAAGAAUAUUUAUAAAUUAUAAACUUAUUAAAGAUUUCAGAUUGAAAAUUUUGUUAUCGAUGAUUUAAAUAUUUUGUUAUAAAACGAUAUGAACGAUCAUAGAACCAUAUGAUUAUAAAUUCUUAUUUAAUAAAUAACUAUACAAAAUAUACUAUUUCUAGAAAAAUAGGUUGGUCCAUCUUAACUUAUAUUACACUUUUUAUUAAACUAACUAUCGAAUUGAUAAAUAACGUACCAAAAAAUGUUUUGCACUUUCCUUAAAUAAAAGCUACGAAAUUACCUAAUAUGAUUAACGUAUAUGUGAAAAUUAAUUAUAAUGAAUAAUAAAUAUUUGAUAACAAUUUUUGUAUCUUAGUUCUUUUUUUAAUUUUAUAUUAUUAAAAUAUAUUUAAAAAUCACAUUAAAUAUAUAAUAAAAACAUUUUUAAUUUUUCUUAUAUGUUAUAUUUUGAAUUUUUCAAAACGUCUAUAAAUUAUUAGAAAUUUGAAGAUCCCCACUCUGAAAAUUUUGUGAUCAAUAGAUUAUUUUUUUUGUCAUAAUAAGUUACAAAUGAUCAUAAAAUUGUAUUAAUAUGAACUUUUAUUUAAUAUUAUAAGAAGAUACACAUUAUUUUAAAACCAUAUGAGUAAAAAAUAUCAUUUAAUAAUAAAACAUAUAUAUAUAUAUAUAUAUUAUACUAUAUACCAUAAGAUUACAUAAAUAUUUUAAUAUUAAAACUUUCAAUGAAUUUUCAAAAACAUUUAUAAAUUAUAAACUUAUUAAAGAUUUCACAUUGAAAAUUUUGUUAUCGAUGAUGUAAAUAUUCAGUUAUAAAAUGAUAUGAAUGAUCAUAGAACUGUAUGAUUAUAAAUUCUCAUUUAAUAAAUGACUAUAUAAAACAUACUAUUCUUAGAAAAAUAGGUUGGUUCAUCUUGACUUACAUUAUAUUUUUUAUUAAACUAACUAUCGAAUUGAUAAAUAAUCUACCAAAUUUUUUUUUGCACUUUCCUUAAUUAGAAGCUACGAAAUUACCUAAUAUGAUUAACGUAUAUAUGAAAAUUAAUUAUUAUGAAUAAUAAAUAUUUGAUAACAAUUUUGGUAUCUUAGUUGUUUUUUUUUAAUUUUAUAUUAUUGAAAGAUAUUAAAAAUCACAUUAAAUAUAUAAUAAAAACAUUUAUAUUUUUUCUUAUAUGUUAUAUUUGAAUUUUUCAAAACGUCUAUAUAUUAUUAGAAAUUUGAAUAUUCCCACUCUGAAAAUUUUGUGAUCAAUAGAUUAUUUUUUUGUUAUAAUAAGUUACAAAUGAUUUAUGAAUUUUUAUUUAAUAAAUAUUCAAACUAAAUAAUAUAUAUAUAUAUAUAUAAACACUAAUGAUUUAAAGCAACAAGAUUGGCUGAUCAAUUUAGUCGUCCAGUUGAAAUCUUUCAAAAGUAUGUGAAAGACUAAAGUCAAAGUAAAUAUGGAUUUAGAAUAUUAGUUAUAUUUUACUAACAAAAUACCGAAAAAACCGAACCGAACCGAAACCAACCCGAUAUCCGGAUUGAACGCCCGUAAUCCAAAUGAAGCCAAACUAUUGUUUCAUUCUCCAAAAUAUAAUAAAAAUAAUAACUUAAUCCCGCGCAAGGCGCGGGUCUUAUCCUAGUGAUUAGUAUUUGAAGAGAGUUUGAUUAAAUUGGCGAAUGCUUGUACAUGUUUAUCUUUUUUUUUUCUGAUGAACCAUUUAUCUUUUUUUUCACAUAUAUAUUAUAGUUGCACCAACCCUUGAUUUCUGAUUAAGGUUCCAACAAUAUAUAGUAUAGUGUAUUCACAUAUGUUAUAUGUAUAUAUAUAUAGUACUUAGACUAUACGAAUGUAUAUAUGUACAUCAGUGUGGACAGUUACUAGCCACCUUUUACGUGAAUAUAUAAAAAGAUCGGAAUAAUUAUAAAAUUCUCUAAAACUUAUGAGUUUCACGUAAAAAGUUAUAUAGGCAUGGUCCAUAUGAUAACUUUUUGGUAAAACGUAUGUUAACUUUCCUUUAAAAUAACAUUUUUAUGUUUCUUAUUUUAGCUGUGACACAGUGAUUCAUAUGAACUGUAAAUAGUUACAUUUUCAUUAAGAAAUCUGAACAUUUUAAAAGUUCAAAAUAUCUAAACCCGGUGAUCCGCAAUGUUAAUUUCACUUAUCAAGUGAAAUAUAUAUUCUAGCUAAAAUAAAUAAGAAUGGAUAUCCUCAUAUCCUGCAUAUUUUUCUCUAGUUUUCCUAUGUUUGAGAAAACACAACAAAUAUUCGAAGCUUCUUUUCAUUGAUAAGAAAUUGCCAUUAAAUUUUCUAGAUUGGUGCUGUGAAUCUGAAUCAUAAUAGGUUUUGGCAAAUGCUAAUGCGGAUUAGGCUUUUCGUUAUUCUCAUAAUCUAAUUCUAAAUCCGAGCCCAAUAAUACAUUGACAGGCCCGUAUAGAACAAUGUACUGGCCUUUUCAGGACGACAUAAAUAUCAAGUCAACUUGUACGUGUAUAGGCUUUACAAACUUUUACUGUGUCGCGUAACUAUUAAGUUGACAACAAAAAAAAGACAGGUAACUAUUUUCAAGUGUAUGAUCGGCUUGUCGUAUUGCAUAACAAAUUUUGAAAAAAGAAAAGGGUAGAAAACGACAUUAAAUCGAUAUGUCAUUAAUUCCAAAUCUGCGUCUCUUUAUUUCAGAAUAAAUACUUUAACCAUGUCUAUUCACUAAAAGAAAGAAGAUAACGAACCAGGAGGGCGUGCAGUGGCUACACGUGUCUUUAUUAAAAACAACACGCCAUCUCUGAAACCAGAUAGGUAACGACGUCGUUUUCAAUUUCUUUAAUUCAAACAAACAACAUCAUCUAUCUCCUCUCCUGUCUCUAUCGACUGGGUUCACAGUGUCAAAGAGAGAAACAAAAGCAAGUUGUGUUCGUAUUCUGCCUCACUCUCAAUUUAUAAAUUCAGAUUUUGAUUUUGAUUUCUUGGAGUCUUUGAGAAGAAGCAAUCUUUUUUCUAGAAUGGAGAAAGCUUCUUCUUCUUCUUCUUCACGUAGGUCUGCUUAUCUGGAAGCUCUAACACAAGAGAUUAAGAAGAAGCUUACUCGGGUUAGCCCUUGAUCUGUUUGUCUUCUCAUAAAAGACACAUGCAUUUUGACAAAUCUUGAUGAUUUCGAUUUAGAAGUUAUGGGGGUAGUAUCACCAGUGUGUUUCAAUGCCAAUCUGAUUUAGAAAGUGUUUGAUCUUUUUUAAGGCGGUAGUAUCACCAGCACAAACACGCAACUUGUUGCAAGACUUGUUUGCUGAUAUAGCUCUCGAAGUCGACCAACGUGCCAAAGGUCUUCUCACCUUUUCUUUUUUUUUUCCUUUCCUCAACGUUCACGAUUAGAUUGAGAUAUUGAUGAUCAGUAAUUUUUUAACUAAAGCAGAUGUGAUUCUUAGCAAAGAAGAGGAGGAUGGUCCGUUGUGUUUCUUCGACGUGCUUGCUGAUUACUAUGUGAAUGUCUCUGAGAGAGGGAAGGAUAUACUUGAUUUGAUGGUUCAGCUUUGGAGCCAGUCCUUUGCUUCCCACAUAUUCUCUCUUCUCUUCCAUAAAUGGGUAUUGCUAGCUUCUUCUCUCUAAUGUUUUUUUUUUUUAUUCACUCCCAAAGGCUUUAAUGUGUAAUUCCUCUCAGCUGUUUGAGGUUGAGGUUGAGAAUCAAGAGAUACUCCUUCGGUAUUCUUCUGCUUUGGUGCAGGGAGCUACUAAUGUGUUUUGGUAAGCACUUUCAACUUUGGUAAAGCAAUGAUAGAUUAACAUCCUCACUAGGUUCAUUCAUGUACUUGGAAUCUGUGGUAGUUGCAUUUGCCAUUUUUGUUAAGAAAUGGUUUUGAUAGUUUUUCUUGAGUCUCUUCCUACAUUGGAUGGGCUUUGCUAUAUAUACUAUGAGGUAACAUUUGAUAAUUUGCUACUCAUUUUUGUUUGCAGGAUAGACAUCCAGACAAAUACAAGACGCUUCCAAACUCUCUUUCGGGUACCUUCUUUUACCUCUCAUGUAUCAAGUUGUUACGCCACUUUGCUACUGUAACUAACACAGUCUCUGUUGUUUCUUGUAGUAUCUUCUUGAGGAAGUUGCUUUGGAGCCGAUCAGAUUAAAAAAUAUUCCCAUUCAGGUGAGUGGUUUGGUUCCUCUCCAUUUUCAUGAAGGUUCAACUGUUUUUUAGUCUGGAGGAGAUUGACUCUCCCAUAUGUAAUUUCAGGCACAGAGGGAACUCUAUCUCCUGAUCUCAAGGUUCAUUUUCUUUUACAAUUCAGGUAGUAAGUACAGUGUUUAUUUACUCAAGACCAAAGCGUGUCUUCUUGUACCCUGACAGUUGUUCUUUUUUUAAUUCCAGUGGAUAAACUCGAUAGCUUCUUGAGGAACUUCCCGGAGUUUCCUAAUGCUUUCCUAGUUGGAGGAGCCGGAGAUUUCCUUGUUAUAGAACUUACCGAUCAGGUAUAGAACCAACAAAGUCUUUCUUCUUCUCAAGAUUUAAACUACACACAUCACUCAUCUAAUAUGUUACUGUGGUGCAGCUGCAAAAACUGAAAGUGGAACCAGUGCUGCUACACUAUCUUUCUCAGAUGAAGGUCCUCCAAGGUACAUUUCUCUCCUCUAGAUAAAGAAAUAUUCUUCAAGAUAGAUGCUGCUUCUCGCACAGAGAAAUGUCUAACGCAGGUAUGGAACUGAGAAUGACAACAAGCACGAGGUUAAAGGCGUGUCUGUACAGUUUUACCUCACCCGGAGGUCCAAUGUACCCGACAAGAGCUGUCCGUCAUGCAGCCUGGGAUGCCUUGGAUUCCCUCUUUCCCGUGAGAAGUGUUUCCUUGCAAUAAAAAUCACACUAUUUAAAGCACCUAAGACUUUAGAGCACACAUAUAUUGAUAGGCUUGGAAUGUAAGAUUGUAAUAUGUUUGCCUUGCAGGUUGGGCGUUACCCUAGGCAUCUCAUCAGUCUAUUUUUCAGGCUGCUGUAUCCAUGGUACUGGCCAUCCUCGUGCUGGAACUUUGUGGUUUCUUGCAUUAAAGCAGUACUCUAUUCCAUCGUAAGGCUCAUCUUUUCACGGCGAGAAAAGCCGAGGCAGAGCUGAAUAGCUUUUAUAUAUUGGUGAAGCCUCCUGCAAUAUCCCAAUCCUUGUGUAUAGAAUGUGGUUUUGGUCACAAUGAGGCGGCACACCAAGGGAACUUUACCUACGCUUGUAUUGCUUUCUAUGGAGAACAUUAAAUUCCGCUUUGAGGAAGAUCCCACAGAAUAGCUUUUUGACGUGUUUUGUUGUCAUUGUUAAGAUGUUAUUUUGCUGUAGAGGAUGAUGUAUUUUGACAAGAACCCUUUUUGUAAAAGAAAAAAAAAUCUCUUCUCUAUAUAAUUGAAUCCUCAUGAUCAGAGUCUGUAAGUUUGUAACAAAACCUAACUUGAGUUAUGCUCAUGAAGAUGAAACCUGUUUUCCUUCCUCUGCAGUGAAUAAUAGAUUGUCUUUGCUUUAGUUGGAACUUAAGCAUUCAUGCUCUCAUAUAUCAAUGAGUUUAAUUGUCCACCUUCUUCAAUCUCUAUAUAUAUAUAUAUAUUGGUGUAUAAAAGUAACCAAGAUCUUAUCACUUGAAAAAAAAAAACGAGUCUCUACUUUGGAAAUAAGAUUUGUCAAAUUAGAUAGUGAAAGCAAAUGGCAAUAAUACAAAGAUGAAACAUAAUUACAAAUUUUUACAGUUUUCACACAAAGUAUGAACGCAAAUAAUUAGUUAAACAUGAACGGGAACAGAUGUAUCCAUUAUUCCCAUCACAAGCCUUUAGGACGACGGAGACCAUGCAUCUAGAGUGACACUGGCUGCAUAAUGGCCUAGUGCUGUUAUUAUUACGAACCACUUCAAAUCUAUUCCAUUCAUAGAAAAUGAGCUUUUCUGGCUUGAGGCGCGAGAAAUCUCCAAGUACACACCGUGUAUGAAAUGUGACUCCGCAAUCAAAGCAUGUGUAGAACCAUUUACAUUGAUCUAACUCCCUCUCACAAAUUUCGCAACAACUUUUUUGGCUCAGCUUUACACCGCAAUGUAAAGUGAUAGGGUGAUCAUCCUUCUUGUGCCACAUCUUUAUAGGCAAACUAGCACAAUACAAACAUAAAUCAAAGCCACAAGCAUCACAACACAUCAUAUACCCGCCAUGUACAAUGUCCUCACAUGCAACACAACAGCUUGAACCCCAUCUUUUAUAAAUAUAUAGGGGAUGUAAAUGGCCAUCAUGGAUAAACGGCUCACAGAGAGAACCACAAUGUACAUCUACUCUCCAAUCACCAUUAAAUGUGUAAUUGAAACCAUCAAAUAAUACUCUACACUCUCUACAUGCGGUUACAACUUCGUUAGUAACUUCCAACGAGUGUGCUACGCGAGAGAAGGCAAUUUUUUUCUUCCUAGAGAGAUUCACACAUUUAUAAUGAAGAAAAAAUCUACAUUCCUCACAACCAUAGAUGGAUUCAAAUGCAAGUGGAUACAUACAUGCUUCACAUUGUAGCCACUUAUCAUAAAGGAUCUUGUUCUUCUUGUAGAAUUUUAAAGGAUGUUUUUCAUGACUAAAAUGAAUUAUCAAGUCAUCACCCACCAUUUGGAAUGGUUCGGCAUCAUGAUUUGGGAUACCUUCCAAGUCUACACGAUCCCAUAAGUCACUCCUUGACGCACAUUUACAAUGAGUUGCAUAUUUUGGACAGACAGAGCAAGCAUAAGCUCCAUGGUACUGAUUUAAACUUUUGCGACAAACUCCACAUUUCGAGUAUCCAGCACCAAGAUGAGGAGUGAAAGAAAUGCGAUGCUCGUGGCGAUUGAUGCUGAUAAUACGAGGUAAGUCGAUACACUCUCCAUGGGUGAGAAAAGCACACUGAAGACAUACAUAAGGCCCCCCUUUUCCAUCUUCCCCACAAACAUCACAAGUAAAUGACAUGUUUUUCGAAAGAAGAGUAAGUGGGUGCACGUGGGUCCUUGUAUGUUCAAUUACAAGGGGUGGUGGGUUUCUAGUACACACAAGGCAUAUGCUGAAGUUGCAAGUGGGACAAUGAUAAAGCAUAUUUUCUGAUUGUUUUUCACACGAAAAACAAAUCUUUUCGGCAUCACCCAUAAGAUUUUCAGGUGCAAAAAGUUUUAUAGGAUGAUUAGAGUGACAAGGAUGAUUUACCUCUUUUGAAAGAAUGACGCAGUCCAAAUGGAAGUAGAGAUUGCAUUCGUGACAUAAAUAUGAUGGUCCUCCAAAAGUUUCCUUACAUACCUCACAAGGGAAUUUUUCUUUUCCUUUCUUCAAUAAAACAAGUGGAUGGUCAUGACAUAGCGGAUGUUCGAUAGCAGAUGGUGGUGGUUUCAUCCCACAAGUCAGAUUCACUUUGAAUUCGCAUGUGGAACAACUAUAAAAUGGAGUGCCUAUACUUUCUCCACACAAUUCACAUACACCAACUCCCAAUUUCUUUGUGAGUAGGAGAAGAUGUUGGGGGUGAGAAGGGUGCAGGUUGAUUUGCAAUGGGGCUUCAGCGCACUUCUUAUGGAAGAACCAAGCGGAACAAUAAUUAGGAUCAUUGCAAUAGUAGCCACCAUAAAUGGUUCCUUUUGUUUUGCAUCCCUGGCAAUAACUGAUAACAAACCGAGGUGAAGGGAAAAGAGGAUGAUCGUGAAAGGAGGUUUUAUACAUUGUUGUUGAUGUUAUUGUUGUAUCCAUGCGUUGAUUGGUGUAUGUGAGUGAGUUUAAGAGGUUUGUUUGAUUGGAUACAAAAUUGGAACGAGAAGACGGUAUUAUAUAUGCCUUUGUAAACUAAUAACAAUAUACGAGUUAUUUGCAAAAUAACCUUUUAUCUUUUCAAAGAAACAAAGAAUCGAGUAUUUUCAUCGAAACACGAUUUGUUACAUUGAUGAACGAAUAAAGGUUUUGAUUCUUUGUUUUUUUUUGAAAAUAAAAUUUACUCUCUUUUUUGUUUUCUUUUUCAAAUAUAGGUAAUGUCCAUUUCGCAAAUAAAUCUUGAACAAUUAUUUUUGUUAUUACUUUAUAGAGGGAUAUAGAAUAAGUCGUAUUGUGUUUCCCAUCAAACAAAGCAAAUGCAUAUGUGGGGAGUUAAGUCAUAUGCAAAUGCUUAUUCCCGGAAGAAAUCUGAAAAUAUGUUUUUUUCUUUCUUUCUCAAACAAACAAAACAAAACAAAACAAAACAAAACAAAGCAAAUGCUUUCUUCCAACAACAACAAAACAAAAUGCUUUUCUCUCUUUUUGAGUUUAACCCUUGAACAAUGUGCUUACUUUGCAGAGAGGAAAAUGAGAAAGUACAGAAAACGUUUGUGAAUAAAAAAAGUAGUAACAAUUAAGGAAAGAAUAUAUAUUUGAAAUGAUAUUCUAGUUAUUGUACACAAUACAUUUUGCUGUAGAGGAAUGUGUAUUUCUUUGACCAGGAAUCCUACUAUAUAAAAGGAACUAAUUUUGUGGCUUCUAAGAGUGUCCACUUCACCUAAAAUAUUCAGGACCAAUACAUGUCAUUUAACAUAUUCUUCAGCCCAAAAGUAAACUAUUGCAACAUAUAUCCGAGUCCAAUUAAUUUUGUGGGUUGGUCUUCCAGAAACUCACGUGGCUAGAAAGUAAACUCAAGCCCUGAGGAAGUAUGAAAAAUUAAGGUUAACGAAUAAUAAUUAUAAAAGUCUCUUCAUAUAUUAAAAUUUAAGCAUACAGCACGUGUUUUGGUUGCUCAGUAUUAUAUGCUUCAUUUUACUUUAGACUUGAUGUUUGUUUCGAUCGACAUACACUGGACAUUACUCAUCCAAUAAGAUUUUCUCUAAUUGCUUAUAACAUAUUGCGGCCCAAACUAUUUUUUCACAUCUCGCGUCACAAACUCGGAUAUAAUAAUUGAUUUAUUAAUGCUUUCACAUGAUAUCUGCAAAUGGUGAUGUGGGGUAGUCCACAGACCACAGCUUCAUGCUCAAUACUUGCGAUCCACAUGCACGUAAUGUGGAUUGAAGAACAUGUUUCAUUUCUAAUAGGCUGAACAAAUGUGAUGUGACUCAAAAUUCCUCUUUUAUUUUAAUCCCAAACUCUAAAAAAGGUUAUUUACUUUCAUAAUCCUAAUCAGACUUUUUAAUACUUAGCUUAAACCACCUAUACCAAUCAAAUGAACGGAGAAACCAUUUUAUUUUACAAACAUGAGCUUCACAUAACCACGCCAGUAAUAGGUCGCAUGCAUUAAUUACUCAACCCUCUAACCCGACGAUCAUAGAAACAACUCACUAUAAGUCGUUUAUUUACUCAUCCGUUAACAAAGUUCCCAUUCGUAAUAAAUAUAGGCAAAUAAAAACUUCAACAUUUUAACAUUAAAAUGUAACAACGUGUAGCAACUGCCCUGGAAAACAAAAAAAUGCUUGAACAUUAUUCAAAACAGAACAGUAGACGUUCUGACUUACGUUUACUUGAAAUAUAUGGGUUAUAUAAUCUCGCAACCACAAAGGUCAAAUAGAUUAACAAAAAAAAACACACUGCAGGUGCGUAUGAAGAAGGAAGUAACAGAUAGGAAUGGUUAAUCCAUCCCCACCACACACUCCCCUCACCCAGUUUCUUCAUUUUGAUCACAACAUUUACCUUCCUGUAAUUGAGUUCAUCAACAAUACAAAACCCAUAGAUACGGAUUGUUUUUCAAUCUUGGUUUCAUUUAAGACUUCUCCCAUUUACUCUAAAUUAUUGGAACUAUCUUUACCGGUUACAUUUCUUGGUAGAGGUUUAGAUUCUUAAGAAAAAAACUUUGGUCCAAUCUUACUCUACAUAAAUCAUUUUGCAAAUUUAAAAAACUUGGCAAAAAAGUUAUGGAAAAAUCAAAUACAAAAUUUAGUAUCAUCAUUCAAAUUUACAAUGGUCUGUAAACACAGAUAUACUGGCUAAUGAUUCUGCAUUUAUGAUUUGUGUUUACGUAUACAUACAUUAAAAUCAUAUUGAUGACUUCUCAAUAAUACCCCUUUAAUUUUAAAUUUUUUAGAAUUUAUACACGCUCAAUAUAAAAAAUUUAAAGGCAAACAACAGGGCCGACUAAAAAUACAACUAAAUCUAAUAAUGAAACUUAUACUAGAGUCUAACAGAAUAUAGUAAAAAAAUGUCUUCAACCAAAUAUUAUUACAGCAAUAAUAAAUUAUUUUUUUAUAACACAAGGCCCAUUUCAAAUCACAAAAAGAAGAAAAGAACAAAACGCAAAAGCUAUACCACUAACAAGAUUUCAAACUCCCAACUAGGUCUGCGCAUUUCGGGUAUCGGUUUGGUUCGGUUCGGGUAUUUCGGGUUUCGGAUAGUUUGGAUAGGGGCUAGAUGAUCCAUUUAGUACUUGAUCUAUUUUCGAUUCGAUUCGGUUCGGUUCAGGUAGUUUCGGGUUCGGUUCGGUUCGGAUAGUAAAUGCAGGAACCGGAAAAUAUCCGGAAAAAGUUCGGUUCUCAUUUGGAUCCGGUUCGGGCUCGGAUAGUUUGGGUAGUUCGGAUAAUUUGGAAAAAAUAUCGGUUAUUUAAGGUAAAAUAUCAAAUAAUUAGGAUGAUUUAGAUAAAGAUUUUGGAUAUCUUGGAUUGCUUUGGAUAUUUCGGAUAAAACUAUCCGGAUAGUUUCAGAUACUUUCGGGUAGUUUGGAUACUUUAUAAUAAUUUAGUUAUACUCAACUAUUUUCAGAUACUUUAAUAGAAUUUUAAAUUAAAAAAUAUAUAUUUAGUGAUGUUAUAUGUAUAUAUAAUGAAUAUUUUUAUAUAUUCGGGUACCCGUUCAGUUCUCGGUUUGGUUAUUUCGGAUAUAAAAAUAUAGGAACCGUUCGGGUAUUUGAAGAUAUUGAUCCGGUUUCGGUUUCGGGUAUUUCGGUUCGGUUCUUUGGUUCCGGUUAUUUUGCCCAGGCCUACUCCCAACUAUACAUUAUCCAUACCACCCCCACAAUUAAUACAACCUUAUACAUCAAUAUACACGUAGUCGGAACAAAGAACAACCAGAUCAAACAUACACACAAUAACUAACUAAUAAAUCCGCGCGAAGCGCGGACAACCCCCUAGUCCUUUUAAUGAAAAAGAAAAAAACAUCAAUAUCUUCUGUAUACAACUUAAUCCUCAUGAUCAGUCGUUAAGUUUGUAACAAACCGUAACUCGUGAAAGCCCUUUUGCCUGCACACGCUUCUGAACUUGAUAAUAUUAAAGGCAUCAUCAAGGUUUCGUGGUGUAGUUGGUUAUCACGUCAGUCUAACACACUGAAGGUCUCCGGUUCGAACCCGGGCGAAGCCAUUAUUUCGAAUUUUUUUUAUCUGUCCAGUUUUUGUAGAAUUCGUUUUUUUUUCCUCUAUUUGUUGUUUAAGAAUGUUAAUGAUCUUUUGACUGGAUGAUGAUGAUUUGUGGAUGUACAGGAACUUCUUUCGACCUUGACAAAAUCUAAUGUCAAUCCAUGUCCAACAAUGAUUAAAGUUUGCUUCUGAGCUCUCUGUUCAUAACCAACGGUUGAACGAAGACGCUACAAAUGACAGGAGUAAGAAUCAUAGGCCACACAGCCUACUGUCCUCAAAAGAUGUCACAAAUAGCGAAUUUAAACUUCAUUAGCAGAUCUCACAAUCUCAACGCACUAAAGAUACAAAGACACGACAUUAGAUUCCAAACAUACCAAUUCGCAGUACUUUACAAAACAUGAGAUUGCAAAACACAAGAGAAAGGACAUUCUACAAAGAAACUCUAAUUCAGACAGACAUUCCAGACAGUUCAGGAGCUCGUGAACUUAGUCACCGCCUUGGUCCCUUCGGAAACAGCGUGUUUCGCCAGCUCUCCAGGCAAGACGAGUCUCACCGCAGUCUGAAUCUCCCUGGAAGUAAUCGUCGGCUUCUUGUUGUACCUCGCGAGCUUGGAAGACUCGCCGGCAAGCUUCUCGAAGAUGUCGUUGAUGAAGCUGUUCAUGAUCCCCAUGGCUUUGCUCGAGAUCCCGAUGUCGGGGUGCACCUGCUUCAGCACCUUGAAGAUGUAGAUCUUGUAGGUCUCGACGCUCUUCUUNNNNNNNNNNNNNNNNNNNCUUCAGCACCUUGAAGGUGUAGAUCUUGGAGGUCUCGGCGCUCUUCUUGGACCGCUUCUUCUUCUUGUCUCCGGCGACGGCGGAGGGAUCCUUCGGGAGCUUCUUCCCGGCCUUUGGCUUCUUCUCCGCCGGUGCUUUCUCGGCAGGCUUCUUCUCCGCGGGCUUCUUCUCUGCUGCCUUGGGCGCCAUUGAUUUUUUCUAGAGGUACGAAACUGAGAUCGAAGUAGUAGUAGUAA
rnacentral:lncRNA from 1 species